CACGUAGGGGGCGAGCGUUGUCCGGAUUUAUUGGGCGUAAAGAGCUCGUAGGCGGCUUUGUAAGUUAGAGGUGAAAGCCCGGGGCUCAACUCCGGAAUUGCCUUUAAGACUGCAUCGCUAGAAUUGUGGAGAGGUAAGUGGAAUUCCGAGUGUAGAGGUGAAAUUCGUAGAUAUUCGGAAGAACACCAGUGGCGAAGGCGACUUACUGGACACAUAUUGACGCUGAGGUGCGAAAGCGUGGGGAGCAAACAGG
rnacentral:rRNA from 1 species